UGCGCGGGUGCAGCGCCCGCCUGGGAGCCCGCAGGGCGCGCGCGAGGCCCGUCCUGGCCCUCGGGGCUGCCCGCCGGGCAGCGGGCAGCGCGCGGUGCGCGCAACGGGGACAAGCGAUGGCCGGCUCCGUCCCGUGACGGGAGGGGCACGCCGGGCGGCCGCCGGGUGGGUCCGGCUCCCAGGGCGGCCCUCCCCAGGGACCCUACGGCCGGCCCGCCACCGCCCGGCGGGCGCCGGAGAUCCGAGGUAUAACAAGGCAUUGUUAAGUAUGAAGAAGAGUGAUAUCACUUUGAGAUUCAAAUCCAGAAGCUCCCUAAAAUAGACCCCAGCAGAAUUACAAUCUGGAUACAGAUUUAUCUGUCUGGUAUUGUCGCAAUCAGAGGUGCCUAGGGUCAAGGAGAAGAAAGUGGGAAGGACCCCAGUAAGUGCCAUGAGCCACGUGGGAAGAGCUGUCCGCCAGCUGCUGCAAGGCUGUGGCACCAAAGGAGGGAGAAAGGAGGGAGAAGAAAUGCCCAUAUCUCUCUUCCGGCUCUUCUUCCUACCCUGAUGCCAAGCUUCUGCUGGACCCAUCGGAAGCCAGAGGACAAGGGAGCUCAGUCCAACAUGUGAGAAGUCUUUCUCCCUUGAGACCACUACGCUGUGAGGAAGUCCAAGCAUCUGUGCGAAAAAGCCCACCUGGAGGAAAAGCAAGACCCCUGGCUGACAGCCCCAGCAGAGCUUCCAGCCAGCAGCCAGCAUCAACUGCCAGCCGUACGAGUGAGGCCGUGUCAGUCAUUCCACCCUUCUCAGCACCUCAGCCAACACCUCGUCAAUCCACAGAGUAGUGAGAAGUAAUAAAUUGCUGUUUUAAACCAGUUCGUUUGGAAAUAGUUUGUUAAACUACAAUAGAUACUGAAACAGUAUCUUGGGCAAGACUAUCUAGAAAGUAUAUAGUUUACUUCCUUUAUGCAUCUUACACAUAAAUGGUAAGCAGACAUUUUGUUUUGAUGAACUCAACUCUGUUGUCGUAGAAGAAAGA